rnacentral:ncRNA from 1 species
GGUACUUGUACUCGUUGUGGAGCAACGAUGCUAAAAGA